AUUGAACGCUGGCGGCAGGCCUAACACAUGCAAGUCGAGCGGAGCGGCGGGCGGGUGAGUAAUUCCUAGGAAUCUGCCUGGUAGUGGGGGAUGACGUCCGGCAAGGGGCGCUAGUACAGCAUACUAUCAGAUGAGCCUAGGUCGGAUGAGCUAGUUGGUGGGGUAAAGGCCUACCAAGGCGACGAUCCGUAACGGGUCUGAGAGGAUGAUCAGUCACCCUGGAACUGAGACACGGUCCAGACUCCUACGGGAGGCAGCAGUGGGGAAUAUUGGACAAUGGGCGAAAGCCUGAUCCAGCCAUGCCGCGUGUGUGAAGAAGGUCUUCGGAUUGUAAAGCACUUUAAGUUGGGAGGCGUUACCAGCAGAAGAAGCACCGGCUAACUUCGUGCCAGCAGCCGCGGUAAUUC
rnacentral:rRNA from 1 species